rnacentral:snoRNA from 1 species
ACGACCUUACUCGAACAUGAUUUGUUUUAUAUGAUCGUACUACUGUGUUCUUUGUUGGCGCAGCUGGAAGCUAGGCUUCGAUCACUCUGGAUUCGACCACUUUGGCCUGCACAGGCC